GGAGUACAAACUGGCACAGUUAGGAGCCUGAAGUUUGAGAAUGUCAGGUGACAUUAUCUUGUCUAAACAAAAUGUCAAAUGCUCUCGCUGCCCAGUCUGUUGGAUCCCUUGGGACAACUGCUGGUGCUCUGGACCCUCACGUCUGAACGAAGAACCCUGAUGGGCAGAGAGGAGAAAACGUCUGAAGGAAUGCCUAACUUAUGGAAGGAGAUCUGUCCAGCCUGUCGGUGUACGUGGUGAACCUGCUUCCUCUGGGUGGAAUGUGACCAUCAGCACAUGACUCAGAGCUGCCACGAUCCUCCCUGGAGCGAUGGAGAGCCUACAAGCUUCAUGGGGCUUCUGGGGGGGUGCAGGAGCCUUCAUGGCUAUCCUCUCUGAGGUCGCUCCCUCCUGAAAGGUUACAUAAGGAGUACGCAAUGAAAUACGGUUGGGAAAGCGCUUGCAAGUUGCCCAGGGUGCUCUUGAGUUUCACAUUUUCCAGGCAUUGUAAUUCCCAUGUGGUGGGAAGGACCCCUCGGGGAGUAAAUAACUCCAAUGGACUUAUUGACAGAAUUGGAACAAUAAAGUUGGACAGAAUCUAUUCCGCAAGAACUGGGAUGAGAGGAUGUUUCUUUACAUCUCCCCAGAAAGUCACACAACAGUGGCAAUUCUUCCAUUAUUCAUACAGUAACUUCCAGAAUAAAUAUUGCAUCCUAGAUUAAUAAAGACAUUCUCAUAAACACU
rnacentral:lncRNA from 1 species